rnacentral:rRNA from 1 species
CGGGUGGAGUAUGUGGUUUAAUUCGAUGCAACGCGAAGAACCUUACCUGGUCUUGACAUCCCGGAGACCCUUAGGAAACUAGGGGGUGCUUCCAUCUGGAAGAAUCUGGAGACAGGUGCUGCAUGGCUGUCGUCAGCUCGUGUCGUGAGAUGUUGGGUUAAGUCCCGCAACGAGCGCAACCCUUGCCUUUAGUUGCCAGCAGUUCGGCUGGGCACUCUAAAGGGACUGCCGGUGUUAAACCGGAGGAAGGUGGGGAUGACGUCAAGUCCUCAUGGCCUUUAUGACCAGGGCUACACACGUACUACAAUGGCCGAUACAAAGGGCAGCGACACUGCGAGGUGAAGCCAAUCCCGUAAAAUCGGUCUCAGUCCGGAUUGGAGUCUGCAACUCGACUCCAUGAAGUCGGAAUCGCUAGUAAUCGUGAAUCAGAAUGUCACGGUGAAUACGUUCCCGGGCCUU